CGGCGAGUAGCGCAGCUUGGUAGCGCAACUGGUUUGGGACCAGUGGGUCGGAGGUUCGAAUCCUCUCUCGCCCGACCA
rnacentral:tRNA from 1 species